CACAACUUUUUCUACGGACGGGACGGGUGCUGUUCGGGACAAUGCGACUACUAUAGACAACAUGGCUACGCCAGAAUGAUGUUUACACUCCCAGAUUAUAUUUCAAGGCUAACAGACUACUCGCAUACAACAGGCAAAGAACUCAACUUAAUCCGAGCUUUCUUCCUCCCUCGGUGCAGAGUGAACGUCAUCACUAAAGUUGGGUUUGGAUCUGGUUUUCUACAGAGAGAGCCUCACCCUUAUAUCAGUAGAGUUCCCUUGAACGGCUUCCCAUACGUUUUAGGUCUGGACGAUCCAAGAUUGAGCGUGAACAUUCCUUUCGAUAACCCGGAGGAUUUUUUGACAUUCAAAUGGUUCAAGUACAAUGUAAUAUGUCGAGAGCAAUACUGGAUUUGCAGUCAAGACAUUGGGGAGUCAAGCGGAUCCAGGGACCAGUUUCCUCUCCCCCCAUACCGGUCUGCAAGUCAUCACAUGGAGUUCAAAAAACGAAGACUUCAAAAUUUUAUGACUCAUUCAACGAAGAAACAAAAACUCAGAUGGAAUCGCUGCAGACAGAGACUAUGAAAAAUCAAAGUUUUGUUAAAGUUAUUUUCUCUUUCUUCUGUUACAGAUCCUGCAAACUAUUAAACUACUACUCGAAAAAACCUUCUAAAGUGGGGGCAUAUUUUCUUGU